CCAUGUUCCUCCUCCUUCUUCCUUACAAUUCCUUUCAAAAUGUUCCUCCUUCUUCUUCAUUGUUGUUCUACGAUUCAAACUCUACAAUCGAUCGGUAUGUAUUAAUCAUUUUGAUAUCUGUUAUUUUGAUUGUUAAUUUCAUCUAUCUUUGUUGGUUUAUCCCGUCUUUAUUAUUAAUGUUGUUUAUAUGGUUUUUUCACAUAUAAUCGGCGAUUCCUUUAUUGUUACGAUUCCAAGUGUAAAUCAGAUUUAUAUGUCAUGCCAAUUUUUUGGGGAAAAGUAAUCGAAACCUUGCUGAGUGCGACAUUUAUCAUCAGGUAUGAAACUUCUAUUUAUUUAUGGCUGACCUCCAUAUCUCUCUACCUAUUGACUUGGAUCUGCAUAUUCAAUCAAGAAUCUUUAAAAACAUCUAAGGUAAAACUACAUGAUGAUGGUUAAAUAUUGUUUGUUUAUGUUGUUCGAUCUUCAAUUUAUUCAAGAAAAGUUAAGCUUUUGAUGUUGAAAACCGUUUCGGCAGUUGGUAAUGUUUGUUGUUGUUCUUAUUUUUUGUAGAUCAUUAGACAUAUAGAGAAGGUUUAAAUUUUUUCAUGAAUAAACCUAAAUGUUAUGCCACUGCCGGACUAUCAAUCUUCGUCGAACAUGUUACAGAUAUGGAUCAGAGUAACAACAAUCCUUCAUUUUAAAGCUGAUUGAGAAAUACCUAAUGACUUUGCUUCAAUGAUGUGGGGAGAGCAACCACCUUAAAAAUAAUCUGUUAAGAUUGUUGAUGGCAACAAGUUAUGGUUUGUAAGACGGAAAAAAACUGAUUUGGGCCCUGUACUUGGUGAUGGCUUCACCAAAGUUGUUUGGGACAGUCGUAUAACAAAAAAUGACUAUCUUAUGUUUCAGUCAUAUUUUUUUCAUCACUCUUUAAAUUUCCAGUAACUUUUCAUGUAUUGUACUAUCAUUUCUACGUAUUUUCAUGUUUUCCAUUGAUGAUAAA